AGGACGAACGCUGGCGGCGUGCCUAAUACAUGCAAGUCGAACGAACUCUGGUAUUGAUUGGUGCUUGCAUCAUGAUUUACAUUUGAGUGAGUGGCGAACUGGUGAGUAACACGUGGGAAACCUGCCCAGAAGCGGGGGAUAACACCUGGAAACAGAUGCUAAUACCGCAUAACAACUUGGACCGCAUGGUCCGAGCUUGAAAGAUGGCUUCGGCUAUCACUUUUGGAUGGUCCCGCGGCGUAUUAGCUAGAUGGUGGGGUAACGGCUCACCAUGGCAAUGAUACGUAGCCGACCUGAGAGGGUAAUCGGCCACAUUGGGACUGAGACACGGCCCAAACUCCUACGGGAGGCAGCAGUAGGGAAUCUUCCACAAUGGACGAAAGUCUGAUGGAGCAACGCCGCGUGAGUGAAGAAGGGUUUCGGCUCGUAAAACUCUGUUGUUAAAGAAGAACAUAUCUGAGAGUAACUGUUCAGGUAUUGACGGUAUUUAACCAGAAAGCCACGGCUAACUACGUGCCAGCAGCCGCGGUAAUACGUAGGUGGCAAGCGUUGUCCGGAUUUAUUGGGCGUAAAGCGAGCGCAGGCGGUUUUUUAAGUCUGAUGUGAAAGCCUUCGGCUCAACCGAAGAAGUGCAUCGGAAACUGGGAAACUUGAGUGCAGAAGAGGACAGUGGAACUCCAUGUGUAGCGGUGAAAUGCGUAGAUAUAUGGAAGAACACCAGUGGCGAAGGCGGCUGUCUGGUCUGUAACUGACGCUGAGGCUCGAAAGUAUGGGUAGCAAACAGGAUUAGAUACCCUGGUAGUCCAUACCGUAAACGAUGAAUGCUAAGUGUUGGAGGGUUUCCGCCCUUCAGUGCUGCAGCUAACGCAUUAAGCAUUCCGCCUGGGGAGUACGGCCGCAAGGCUGAAACUCAAAGGAAUUGACGGGGGCCCGCACAAGCGGUGGAGCAUGUGGUUUAAUUCGAAGCUACGCGAAGAACCUUACCAGGUCUUGACAUACUAUGCAAAUCUAAGAGAUUAGACGUUCCCUUCGGGGACAUGGAUACAGGUGGUGCAUGGUUGUCGUCAGCUCGUGUCGUGAGAUGUUGGGUUAAGUCCCGCAACGAGCGCAACCCUUAUUAUCAGUUGCCAGCAUUAAGUUGGGCACUCUGGUGAGACUGCCGGUGACAAACCGGAGGAAGGUGGGGAUGACGUCAAAUCAUCAUGCCCCUUAUGACCUGGGCUACACACGUGCUACAAUGGAUGGUACAACGAGUUGCGAACUCGCGAGAGUAAGCUAAUCUCUUAAAGCCAUUCUCAGUUCGGAUUGUAGGCUGCAACUCGCCUACAUGAAGUCGGAAUCGCUAGUAAUCGCGGAUCAGCAUGCCGCGGUGAAUACGUUCCCGGGCCUUGUACACACCGCCCGUCACACCAUGAGAGUUUGUAACACCCAAAGUCGGUGGGGUAACCUUUUAGGAACCAGCCGCCUAAGGUGGGACAGAUGAUUAGGGUGAAGUC
rnacentral:rRNA from 2 species